rnacentral:tRNA from 1 species
ACCUGGGUGGCUCAGUCGGUUGAGCAUCUGACUUCGGCUCAGGUCAUGAUCUCGCAGUUCGUGAGUUUGAGCCCCACAUCAGGCU